rnacentral:misc_RNA from 1 species
GUAAACAACAAACGGCGAACCUUCUGAUUAUUCUUCAUACAUUUAAUGUAUGUAUAUUUAAUUUAUAUAACGAACGAGGACAGACUAACAGGAGUUGCUGUCGUACUUAUCGUUGGUAGGAUCUUUAGACUCGGCGUAGUCGUUGUAGUAGUUGUCUUAGGAAGGAGUAGCACAAUUCAAGAAGACGAAGAACCAUCAACCCUCAUCAUUCAUCACUAUAUAAAUCCAACUAAAGAAAGGAAUUCAUCGAAAAUGCGUCUGUCAUUAUGAAUGCGAGACGAAAUUUAACUUUAAUGAAGAGCAUAGAUAGUAAUUAAGUCACCCUCAUACCCCACCCCACCCCCUUAUACUCCCGCCCCGUUCCCCCUUGCUUUGCAAAAAAAAAAAAAAAGCAAACAAAUUGCAACAACGGAAAAUAAAUAAUACAACAACUGACUCAUCUUGUUCGUAGUCAGACUCUUAAUAAAUACAUUGAUAUCUUUAAAAAGUCCAAUUAAAUAUCAUACAUGAAAAAAACUUUGCAAGUCAGUGAUCAUCCUCAUCCUCAUCAACAACGUCUUCUCCAGCCCCAACACACCCAGGAACAACCUCAUCAUCACGUAGAUAAAGAAGGAGAGACGACUUUGACGUCAACGAGUAAUAUCAUUCUGGAAGAUAAAACGAUUUCUUUGAUGAAAGAAGAACCUCUCAACAUGUCGACAACCUCACACAGCAACGCACCCUCUAAUAAUAAUAAUAACACAAAUAGUACAAGCGGCUGUACGACCUCCAAUCACAAUAGUAUUGGUGGUAAAAGCAAUAACAAUGCGAGUGCCAGUGCCAAUGGUCCCACCACCAACAGCAGUACUAAUAACAAUGGGGGUAGUAGUAAUGGAGGAACCCCUCGUAGGCCCACAUCAACAACGAGUGGUGGAGGUAGAGGACCAAGUCCUGGACCGCCACCUCCAACCGCCCACUAUAUUGAUCCUCCCCGUUCAUCCCCUGUCAUUUACCAUCACCGGUCGAGGGAAGAUCAUGGACCCCAACCCCCACUACCUGCCAAUGGUGGAGGAUCUUUCUAUUCCCGACAUCAUCCCCGAUCCCCAGAGAGACCCUCUUAUUCUUCUUCUACUGAGCAAAUGCAGCAUGGGCAUCCUAACGUGCACUACUAUCGAGAUGAGAAUCCUCACCCGCCCCAUCCGCACCACCAACAACAACACCUCCAACAUCGGGGUAGCAAUAACAGUAACAGCGGGAGUGGCAGUAGAGUUGUUCACAUGGAUGACGACUGGGAAUAUGUUUCACGGAAUAAUAGGGAGAGUACAGCAACUUUUUCCGUCGUUGAAGGAAGGGAUAGAAUGAGAAAGAUGGGGAGUGAAAAGUAUAAGCUCAAAUGGAGCAAAUACGAAACGAACAUACUAACAGCAUUUCAUGGAUUGCUCGAGUCUGAAACUCUUUCGGAUGUUACACUAUUCUGUGAAGGUCAAACCUUCAAAGCUCACAGACUCGUGUUAGCAGCGUGUAGCACUCAUUUUGAAAGUCUAUUUAGCCAUGCGCCAAUCAAUGCCCCCACAAAUAAUCAAUUUUUUGUCAUUUUGGAUGGAACAAGAGCAGAUGAUCUUCAGAUUUUGCUUCAUUUUAUGUAUAGAGGUGAGGCCUAUUUGCAUCAUGACAGAAUCAACAGCGUUCUCAAGACUGCUGAAGUACUUCAGGUUAAGGGCUUGUCCGAAGGACCCCGAAACAUUGAAAUAAAUAAUCAAAAUAUGCAUAUGGCGGCUGCCUCUACUAGUAGCAGGUCUUGGUCUCCUAUCAAUUCUGGUGGUGUUCCCAUAUCCCCACCUCUUAUGAGGAAAAAGAGAGAGAGGGAUGACUCACCACCAACUAGAAGUCCUAUACCAGAACAUUCUUCUCCUAACUAUUACCCAAGGGAACAAUUUCCUAUGUAUCGAUUGCCCACAUUUGCAGGAAGACCAGUCGAAGCUGUUGCAGCAGCGGCAGCAGCAGCCGCGGCUGCUAGUAGUGGAAGUAACAAUCUUCCCUCUUCGUCAUCACCUUUUAAUCAUAAAGCGUCUCCUUCACCUUGCGGAGGAGGGGAACGUUAUUCCAAAAUGAUACGUGGGGGAUCAGCAUCUCCACAUCGUCCUCCUUCGGUCUCUAAAAGAGAGGAAGAGGACGAUCACUAUGUUCGCUCAUCUCCUAUGAUUCGUCCAUCAUCUAACAAGGCUGAAGAUUACGAGGAUGUCCCACCACCUCCAAGAGGUAUGGGAAAUUCCUCUUCACCUCAACCACCUGUUUCAGGCCUUUCGAAACAUCAAUCUUUCCCUUCCGAUUCUACUACGACUGAACUAAACUCCGGACCAUCCGGUUUAUUAUCCCGUGCAUAUAAAGAAAGACUGCGAAGAGAGUCCGAACACUGCGAACCUGAAUCAAAUACUAAUAAUGACGAUCUUACACAUCAGACUAAAUUUCCUGACUUCAGGAAUUCAAGAGAAGAAAUAUCAAGGCUGAAUGAUAUUACUCCUCCAAGAAAUCCCUCAGGAUUAAAUGAUGAAGAUGUUAGGACUGCUGCCAAUAAUUUGGAAACAUUUCGACGAUUAGCUCAACAACACGCAAGGACUUUACCUAUUCCUGUAACUCUAGCUCAAGGUUUUUCAGCUAGUGACUAUGUGAGAUUAGCUUCUCAUGUUAGAGAUCCUGAAAAUGGUACCGGUACAAAGCUGAGAUGCCCAUUUUGCGAAAGAACUUAUGGUUAUGAAACCAACCUACGUGCUCAUAUUCGCCAGAGGCAUCAGGGAAUAAGAGUGUCGUGUCCAUACUGCCCUCGCACAUUCACACGAAAUAAUACAGUUCGUCGUCAUGUUGCUAGAGAACAUCGUCACCUAAGUCGUAACAUUCCUACACGAUUUACUUCUACGCGUAUACCUCCUGAUCCGAUUUCCGCGCAACAAAUGGCUGCUGUAGCAUCCGCUACAUCAUUACUACAGCCACCUUCUCCUAAUACAUCUGGUAAUGGACAAAAUUCAACCCCAGAAAUAGUAGCUAAACACCCAUGACAUCUAAUGCCCCCUGGAGUUGAUAAGAUUUUUGCACCAGCAUAAUGCUUAAAUGUGUAUGAUCAUGACUGAUGAUAUAAAAAGAUAAUUUUUUCGAAUUCUUUAUUAACCACGUUUUGUAUGUAUUUUUUUUUUAAGAAAAUGAACGAUUUUUUUUUUUCCCUUGAAGAAAAAAAGUGAUCAGUUAAAUCGAAAAAGAAAAGUAAAAAAAAAGUGUUGUAGUUUGAUGGUUAGUAAAGAAUUUUUUUUUUUUAAAUCAUUUUUAUUAAGUAGUGUUCUCUCAGACCUCUCUAGAAAUCCACAAGACUGACUAAAAAUGUGUCAUUGCAAAAGAAAAUAAUGUUUAAUAUGAUAUUUAAUGUCGUUAUUUCCUCCGUUAAUAUUUUAUGCCCCAAUCCCCUCAAAUCCUUUUUUAAUACUGAAUUAAAAAAGCUGAGAAUAACCCACACCUCAUAACAUAUGCUGACUGAUUUCUCAUUAAAUUAAUACAGAGAUGAAGAAUCCCCUCAAUUCCAUCCACAAAUAACACGAACAAUUUUGGAUUUGUAUAAAAGUCAGGUUCUCUUUUUUCACGUACGAUUUUUUCAGUUUUUCUAUGUAAAAUAAAUAUUCUUUUGAAAAAAUGAGAUUUUUAGAGCUAAAAAUAUUAUUAUAAGGAUAAUAAUCAUUAUUAUUUUGUAAAAUUGAAUAUUGUACAUAUUAAUACCACUUUUUAACAUAUAUAUUUUUUUUUCUGUGUGUUUUUACUAUUCAUGUAUAUUCGAUAGUUUAUAUAUAUAUUUCCUCCCUUUCCUUCCUACUCCAUGAAUAUAUAUUUAAAAAGGUGUUGGGUUUUUUUGCCAUAAACUUUUCCCUCAGGACAUUUUACCUUAAUACAUCUAGGAAUGAUACUUAUACGCCGUUAUUGUUGAUUUUUGCUGGAAAUGUAUGUACUCAUUGAUUUUUUUUAAGCAAUUGACUAUAAAACACAGUAAAUGGUUGUUUUCU